GGGGAAGGGGCGCAGCACGCCACCCUCCUUUCUCCGCCCCUGCCCUACCCUCUCCGCUGUUCCCCCACUGUCCUCCCCCAGCCCAGCCCAACCUCAGCCGGCCGCGGGAGGAGGCGGGAGCUGGGGCUUCGAACUGCCCCCUCCCACCUCCGCCUCUCCCCCGUCUCCUCUCCCCCUUUCCUCUUUCUCCUCCCCCAUCCCACUUCUCUCUCCUUUUCCUCUUUCUUUCUCCCCUCCUCCCUCCAUUCCACCCGCCUCCUUUUACCCCGCCCUGCCAGUCGUCCUCCCCCUCGCCCCCUCCGCCUCCCUCCAGCUCCGCCGCCAGAGGCUGAGUCAUCGCUGCUGCGGCGCUGCCGGCCGUGCUGGGAGAGCAGGCGAGCAGGUAGGGAGGGUGUGAAGCAAGCGACGCCGUGCGACCCGGCACCACCGUCUGGGCCCUUUCCCGGAGAGGCCUGGGGAGGGGGCACCGAAAGGGGCCCGGGCCGCGGUGGGGGACGGGCGACGGGCCCCGGAAAGGCACAGAUCUUACCCCUCAACCCCCAUCCUUACAGGAGCCGCUUUGCAGCAUUCUCAGCCGCACAUGCAAAUUAAUACCUAACAUUAGGGUGGCAUCUGGGCCAGGCAAGUCAAACUGACGGCCCACGGACAGAUCUGGCCGGCACCUGAUAUUUAUUUGGCUCACACAGUGUUGUGUUUGUUUGUUCUGAAGUUUUAACUAUUAAUAGUUGCCAAUACUUAAACAUCACUCAUUUCUUGGAAAAUCAGAUUCCCAACUCAAAAAAUUAGAAUAUAUGUCAACGUAUUUCCCAUGAUAACUCUAGCCUAUUUCUGAGUGGGGAUACCUUUGUGUAGUCAGGGCAUUGCACCCUCCCUACCUGCUCGCCCUCUAGUUUGCCACAGUCUCCGCUACUCCCUACUGUUUCACCUAGGCCACUGAACUUCCUUUGUGUUUCCUGCCAGGCCUCAUAUGGAAUGAUUCCUAGUCUAGUCCACCCCAUUCAUAUUUUACAUGGGGAUUAGGAAGUGAGGGUAGGGCAUUUCCCAAAGUCACAUGUGGCCUUAAAGCUGAAGGGGAACCCUGCUUUUCCUCACCCACUAAUCUUUUCUACCAAACCAUUCUGACUCCUUUGGUAUGCAGGCUAACAUAGGGAAUUCUUUUGUGAAAAGUGUGUUCCAGAAAAUUAUCUGGGGAUCAGAGUAGACCUCAAAUGGGAGAUGAUUUGGAGCAUACAGCACCUCGUCUUUGGAGUUGAUGGUAGCUUCUCACAGUCUUUCCCUUGGAGUGGAAAUAGAUGACAAAACUAGGGUGGAUAGAUGAAUGGAACAGUUGGCCAAUCUGGUAUAUUUGGUUAUAAGAAGUUGUUUUCGGGUCAUUGGAAACCUGGCUUAUGAGACACUGUUGCAUAAGGGCUACAAAGGCAAUAUGCCACUUUGCUUGGAUUAUUCUCUAGUCUAGUGCUUCUCAGCUCCUAAUGUGUACAUGAUUCCUGUAAAGUGUAGAUUCUGACGUGGCACGAUGGCUCACACCUGUAAUCCCAGCACUUUGGGAGGCCAAGGCAGGAUAAUUGCUUGAGCCCAGGAAAUUUGAGACCAGCCUGGGCAACAUGGUGAGAUCCCUAUCUCUACAAAAAAAUUAAAAAUUAGUUGGGCGUGGUGGCCUGUGCCAGCUACUUGGGAGGCUUAGGCAGGAGGAUCCCUUGAACUCAGGAGGUGGGGACUAUAGUAAGCUGUGUUUGUGCCCCUAUACUCUAGCCUGGGCAACACAGUGAGACCCUUUCACACACACACACAAAAAAAUUGUAGAUUCUGAUUCAGUAGGGCUGGAUGGAACGAACCCAAGAUCCUGCAUUUCUGACAAACUUCCAGGUGAUGCCAGUGUUGCAGGCCCCUAGACCCUCCUGCCUUUGAGUAGCAAGGGUGUGCACUCCUUGCGCUUCCGGUCUAUUCAUGGGUACCAUUGCUGCAUGACGGCCAAGAGAAGGGGUUUGAAGUCCCACAGUGGACUUCACAGUGGAUCCCAGCCUACCCCUUAACAGUCAGCUAACCUUAGGCCAGCUGCUCAUCCUCUCUGUGCCUCCAUUUUUUCAUCUGUUCCAUUGAAAUCAAAUAAUACUUCCUUAGGAGCAUAAAAAAGGCAGAAUGAAUGUAUGACCCCAGCACAGUCUGUGCCUCAUGGCAGGCCCUCUGUAAAGAUAGUUUCUACCAUUGUGCACUCUCUCAUGGGCAGUGAAACCCAGAAAUGACGUGGUUAGGGAGUGGGAUAUGGAAGGGAUAUGGAAGGUAUUUCAGGAUAAGAAUUGUACCCCUUGGCUGGGCGCGGUGGCUCAUGCCUGUAAUCUCAGCACUUUGUGAGGUGGAGGUGGGCAGAUCACAAGGUCAGCAGUUCGACACCAGCCUGACCAACAUGGUGAAACUUCGUCUCUACUGAAAAUACAGAAAUUAGCUGGGCAUGGUGACGCGCACCUGUAAUCCCAGCUACUAAGGAGGCUGAGGCAGGAGAAUCACUUGAACCCGGAGGGUGGAGGUUGCAGUGAGCUGAGAUCGCGCCACUGCACUCCAGCCUGGGUGACAGAGUGAGACAACAUCUCAGAAAAAAAAAAAAAAGAAUUGCACUCCUUAAUGUGGCCUUCUGAGCCAUGCAGGGUGGUCACUGCCCAGCCUACCCCUUAAUGCUCUCCUACCUCUGUCCAUGCUUCCACCACAACGGCCACCUAUUAGGUCCUUUGGCCAUGGUACCUUCUCCCCUCAGAGGCCUUGCACAUGCUGUUCCUCAUAUUCCAAGCUGGCUGGCCCCUUCUUAUCCUUCAGUCUCAGCUCCUAUGUUACUUCCUUGGGGUGCCUUCCCUGAUCUCAGAAGUCUAAGGGUUUAGCGUAGAAAGUGGGGAGCAGGGAACAUCUCUUUGGGCUGCAUGUACAUAGGGAAGUCACCGUAUCUACUUAGAUUCUAAGUUUAUUUAAAGCAGCUUUGGAUAGGGGUGAACUAAACGCU
rnacentral:lncRNA from 10 species